rnacentral:misc_RNA from 1 species
CCUGCUUCUCUGCCUCCAUAUUCUGUAAAGAGAAAAUAAGACAAGUCAGACCAAUUAUGAAAGAAAAUUUCCGUUAGUUAGUGCAAAAGAAGUAUGAAAUUAUUUUCUUCCUUCAAAGCAAAUCUGUUAUCACAGGGGAAAAAAGUGUUUCAUGACAUUAUUCAUGAUUUCAUGUAGCUUGCCAAAGCAGCUAAUCCAGUCAAUGACUUCGAAUGAUGCAGGUGAAACGUAAGCAUUGAUUUUUCUGUCCGCAAAUGCAGCUGCUCUUCAUGUUAACACUACCAUAAGGUCAACAAAUUUGAUUCUCCUCUAAAAGAAAAAUCAAAACAGAUAAGCUAGAACCUUAAUGAAGCUAGCAAAAUCACUCAAAUACUGAAAAUUGAAGGACAAGAAUCUAGAAUGUGAUGUUUAGGAAGUUCCAUUUCUAGGACAGUUGCCUAUUAUAGAUUAUGUCAAGCCAACACCAUUUUCUCCUCUAUCAAUGUAGCUUUAGUCAUUGCUUCCAAUCCACAUGGUUGUCUAAUCACUUAGGUUAACAUAAUUGGCAGAAUAAG